ACCCAGAGAAUCAACCUUUGUCUGCAAUAAUAAAGCAUAAGAGAUAAAAAUAGAUCAGGCUAAAAUUGAACAGAGAUACCUCUAAUAAUUACUUCUCAAAGUGAGCUAAUGCAUUAUCUUCUAUAAUCUCACUAUUACACUCCAUUUCAAUAUGCCCCAAAAAUCGAAUUUAGGAAUCAAAGAUGAUCUAAUGAACACAACGA